rnacentral:rRNA from 1 species
GACGAACGCUGGCGGCGUGCCUAACACAUGCAAGUCGAACGCUGAAGGAGGAGCUUGCUCUUCUGGAUGAGUUGCGAACGGGUGAGUAACGCGUAGGUAGCCUGCCUGGUAGCGGGGGAUAAGCGUUGGAAACGACAUCUAAUACCGCAUAAGAGUAGAUGCUGCAUGACAUUUACCUAGAAGGUGAUAUUGUAUGACUACCAGACGGCGCUGAGUUGUAUUGGCUAGGUAGUGGGGUAAAGGCUCUCCAAGGCGACGAUACAUAGCCGACCUGCGAGGGUGAUCGGCCUCACUGGGACGGGGACACGGCCCAGACGCCUGCGGGAGACAGCAGUAGGACAUCGUCAGCAAUGGACGGAGGUGUGACCACGCAACGCGGCGUGAGUGAGUAAUGACGCCGGAUCGUGGAGGUCUGUUGUAAGAUAGGAACGAUUUUUGAGGUGGAAAGUUCUCACAGUGACGGUACCUUAACAAGAAGCGACGGCUAACUACGUG